AUCCACUUGACGAGUCUCAAACAGGACGAAACGCGCGUUAAACUGAAU
rnacentral:hammerhead_ribozyme from 1 species